GAUGAACGCUCGCGGCAGGCCUAACACAUGCAAGUCGAGGGAGAGGUUACCUUCGGGUAACCAAAACCGGCGCACGGGUGCGUAACGCGUAUACAAUCUGCCUUUCACAUAGGGAUAGCCCGAAGAAAUUUGGAUUAAUACCUAAUGGUAUAUAAGAGCGGCAUCGUUUUUAUAUUAAAGCUACGGUGGUGAAAGAUGAGUAUGCGUUCUAUUAGCUAGUUGGAGAGGUAACGGCUCCCCAAGGCGACGAUAGAUAGGGGUUCUGAGAGGGAUGUCCCCCACACUGGUACUGAGAUACGGACCAGACUCCUACGGGAGGCAGCAGUGAGGAAUAUUGGACAAUGGUCGGAAGACUGAUCCAGCCAUGCCGCGUGCAGGAUGAAGGUCCUAUGGAUUGUAAACUGCUUUUGGAAGGGAAGAAUAAGGAGUACGUGUACUUUGAUGACGGUACCUUACGAAUAAGCAUCGGCUAACUCCGUG
rnacentral:rRNA from 1 species